rnacentral:tRNA from 1 species
GAGUGGCUCAGUUGGUAGAGCUCCUCCUUGCCAAGGAGGAAGUCGCGGGUUCGAGUCCCGUCUCG